rnacentral:rRNA from 1 species
UACGGAGGAUCCAAGCGUUUAUCCGGAAUCAUUGGGUUUAAAGGGUCCGUAGGCGGUUUAAUAAGUCAGUGGUGAAAGCCCAUCGCUCAACGGUGGAACGGCCAUUGAUACUGCAAGACUUGAAUUAUUAGGAAGUAACUAGAAUAUGUAGUGUAGCGGUGAAAUGCUUAGAGAUUACAUGGAAUACCAAUUGCGAAGGCAGGUUACUACUAAUGGAUUGACGCUGAUGGACGAAAGCGUGGGGAGCGAACAGG